UAGGGAAUCUUCGGCAAUGGGGGGAACCCUGACCGAGCAACGCCGCGUGAGUGAAGAAGGUUUUCGGAUCGUAAAGCUCUGUUGUUAAGGAAGAACGAGUGUGAGAAUGGAAAGUUCAUGCUGUGACGGUACUUAACCAGAAAGGACCGGCUAAUUACGUGCCAGCAGCCGCGGUAAUACGUAAGGUCCGAGCGUUGUCCGGAAUCAUUGGGCGUAAAGGGUACGUAGGCGGGUAAGCAAGUUAGAAGUGAAAUCCUGUAGCUCAACUACAGUAAGCUUUUAAAACUGCUCAUCUUGAGUUAUGGAAGGGAAAGUGGAAUUCCUAGUGUAGCGGUGAAAUGCGCAGAUAUUAGGAGGAAUACCGGUGGCGAAGGCGACUUUCUGGCCAUAAUCUGACGCUGAGGUACGAAAGCGUGGGUAGCAAACAGG
rnacentral:rRNA from 1 species